AACGAACGCUGGCGGCAUGCCUAACACAUGCAAGUCGAACGAGACCUUCGGGUCUAGUGGCGCACGGGUGCGUAACGCGUGGGAACCUGCCCUUAGGUUCGGAAUAACUCCCCGAAAGGGGUGCUAAUACCGGAUAAUGUCUUCGGACCAAAGAUUUAUCGCCUUUGGAUGGGCCCGCGUUGGAUUAGCUAGUUGGUAGGGUAAAAGCCUACCAAGGCGACGAUCCAUAGCUGGUCUGGGAGGAUGAUCAGCCACACCGGGACUGAGACACGGCCCAGACUCCUACGGGAGGCAGCAGUGGGGAAUAUUGGACAAUGGGCGAAAGCCUGAUCCAGCAAUGCCGCGUGAGUGAUGAAGGCCUUAGGGUUGUAAAGCUCUUUUACCCGGGAUGAUAAUGACAGUACCGGGAGAAUAAGCUCCGGCUAACUCCGUG
rnacentral:rRNA from 1 species